rnacentral:rRNA from 1 species
CACGUAGGGGGCCAGCGUUGUCCGGAUUUAUUGGGCGUAAAGAGCUCGUAGGCGGCUCAGUAAGUCAGGUGUGAAACCUCCAGGCUCAACCUGGAGACGCCACCUGAUACUGCUGUGGCUAGAGUCCGGUAGGGGAGCGUGGAAUUCCUGGUGUAGCGGUGAAAUGCGCAGAUAUCAGGAGGAACACCAGCGGCGAAGGCGGCGCUCUGGGCCGGAACUGACGCUGAGGAGCGAAAGCGUGGGUAGCAAACAGG